CUGCCAAACCGCGCAUGUAAGGUCGCCAUAGCCUCCUUCAACCCGCUGGGGAAUGACAGGAGGUGUCCUACUGCCUCGAGCGCCGCACCUCUCAACGCCUGUUGCAGCCGCCUGGGAGCCCUACAAAGUUUCCAACGGACGCGGAAGCCGGACGGGGACAGUGGGAAGUGCGAAGAGCUCGUUUUCCACUGUCACAGACGGGUACAAAAAUGCGUGUACGGAAUGGAGGGAAGCAUGCAAUUGGUAAUACAGAAAGGAAACGCUUGGAAAUUUUUUUAUAACAUCACUGAUGCCAAAGAGAUGAUGUGAGUUAAAGAGCAAGCAUAAGAAUAAAGCAUGUCAAGCGGUGAGGUAUGUGGUGAGACAGAGGAAUGUGUGGAAACAUUCCCUCGCUAUGAGGAUAGACCAAAAUCGCGGACAGCCUCGAGAAAGUUUUCCGCAAAUGUAAAAAUAGAAGAUCCAGGAAAAAUAACAGAACUUUCACAAAGUUUUUACGUCGUAAAGGGAAACCAACAAUCACUAGUAGGUAAAGAUAAAAGAAGUAAGAGUUGAAAUACCCAUAGACAGACCGGGUGUCUAUAGGCGAACGGGUGUCUCCUUUAGUUCCAAUCAUUACGAACAAUGGUGAUUUGCGCCUAUGUGUAGAUAUGCGUAGAGCAAAGAAGGCCAUCAUGAGUGAGCAACACUUCACCACGGCUAAAAUAUUCUCUCGUUUGGACUUUAAGGAAGCCCAAACCUCCUUAAUUCUCUAUACCUUUUCCAUCAGGUAUAACUGCACGAGAAUAGCAAAAAUAUAAAAGAUAUAAAAAGAUGUAAAAGAUUGUUAUUUGGAAUUGUAGCUACGCCGGGAAAUUUCCAGUGUAUUAUGGAACACAAUUUGGCCAAAUUUAAUAGAAACGUUGUGAAUUGUAUUGACGACAUAAUAAACCACCAUACACCAUACGACAUGACAGAGUGUUAGAUGAUGUUUCGAGAGUACUAAAAGGCAAAGGCCUUCUAUUGAAUGAAGAAUGUUGAAAUGUUAGGGCAUAAAAUUUGAAGCCAAGGCAUUGAACCGGCCCAAGGAAAGAUAAAAGCGAUCAAGAAAGCGAAAAAAACCUGACUUACUAACUAUGAGCAAGCAAUAUGGCCAGGCCGUCCCUCAAGAAACAAAACUUACCAUGUGCGAUCCAAUCCUGCUCUAUUGUCCUAAGGUUUGAUCGUCGAACAUUGGUUUGGAAACAGUGCACAUUUGGUUUUUGUUUCAGAGGGUUUUACUUAUGGUAUGAUGUUUAGCAGAUAUGCUACAACAUUCUGCUAAUAUUGUAAAAUGAGCUAGGACUAAAGCCUUUGUAAUUCCAAAAAUUGCAAGAUCUUACCGAUUUACAAAAAAACAAAAAGUUCAUCUCACAAGAACCAAAGUGUUGCUCCGCUUGGUCGAAAGUGGUGAAUUGCCGAAAGUGGUGUAUGGAAAAGAGUUAUCCAGCAGAAAAAGCCAGCCAUGGUGAUGGUGUGGUCUGCCGUAACCGCCGGCAGCCGAUCGCUCAUCGCUCGUAUUAAUCGACAAUGGGGUUAAAACAAAUGCGCAACUCUACCGUGAAAAUAUUUUGGAGGGAGCUCUGAAGUCCUGGGUGCGCAAACAUUUUGGCCGCAGACCUUGGACAUGGUAGAAUAUAAUGGUUACGAAAUGAGAUCCCUCGCUUCAUUUCUACCGUACAAGGGCCACCAAAAUCACAAGAUGCCAUCCCGUUGAACUAUUGUGCCUGGGGGGGGUAUUCGGGAAAGUAAGAUUGGCACUAAAAAAUACCAAAGUCUCGAUCAGCUCAAGCAAGUGCUUCGCCGAGAAUGGGCCAGGCCCUUUCGAGUAUAAAGGUUUCCUCAGGCUGUAGUCUUUCCUAUGAACUUGGUUAGCUUCAUCUACUCAGUAGAGCAUUAACCUGAUAUCAUGGAAACUGAUGUAUAUGUCAUCAGCGUCUUGACGUUGACUGACGAUUGAUGUAUACAACAAGGUCCUCAUUUUGAAAGCGUCUUAUAUUGGUUGUGUUGCAAUCGCAACAGGUAAAAAUCCUCAGGGAUUAAAUUGAAAUUGAGGGUAAAUUGAUUCAAAUCCAAUUCCUUUUCUAAAUCGGUGAACCAGUUUAUUUUAUUUGUUUUUUUUUUUUUUUGUAGAUUUUGGUUACACACAGCGAAUAAAACCUAAGCGUCAUGAGUGUUAGACUUCCACGGCCGGUAAUAUCCUAAUAUUUAAAACAUGCCUGAAGAGUAAAGCGAUAUUUAUUGAUAAUCCGUCAUCGAUCCAAUUCGUCUGUAGUCAUAGGUUGCAAAUUAUAUACAUUUUUUCUUGAUUUCAUGUACAUAUCUCAAUUUCCAAUACAUGUAUAUUUUAUUGCGUUGUGAAAUUAUUCAUCGAUCUUACUAAUUCUUGCUUUAUUCGCAUAAUUGGGGACUUAAAUCAUUAUCUUCACUUCUCGAUCACCUGACAAUACCAUGUAAGGUUUAUUCAAAUUUCUUGUAAGUAAAUUUAAGAAAAUAAGGUUGAUGUAAGCAAAGCUGCUCAUAUAACUAGUACGCUUGCUCGAAUUGUGCUGUAUGCUUUCAUCCACAUAAUAUCUCCAAAUUCAAAUAAAUAUUUAAAAUAAUCCAAAACCGUUUUGAAUUCGUCAAGUUUUUCCACAAGUCUUUCAACAGAUCCUAGCACAAAGUCUUCUUUUCUAAAUGUUGCUGAAUCAAUAAAAGUUGUUUCAAUCAUGUCUCUUGCAAUGUCAAAAUUGUUAUGAAUAAUUGCCGUCUCGUAAACACUAUUGCCAGCCACAUCGACACUCUGAAUUAGAUCUGAAUGCUCUAAUGACUCACAGAGCUCAAGUAACUUGAAUGCCCUAUUAUUAUGACUUGAUUCACUUGCUGCAAUGUAGUGGAAAAUAUUCCAUCCUUUGUUUUUGUUGAUCAUUGUGCGGUCAAAGUCGGCCUCGAUUAAACACUGCACCAUGAAGAAACAGCCAUUUUGUAUGGUCAUGUGUAAUAAAUUUCGACCAUGCUGGUCAAUGCUCUCCAGAUCGGUUGUUUGGUGCAGCAGAAAUUUGAAAGCAUUAAUAGAUUGAUCAUGUAUCAAUCGUUUACCCUUGGGCAUUAAACGCAUGACCGUGACAAUAGUUCUAUUAGUAAUGGGUUUUUGAAAUUUUUGGACGAUGUAAUUCAUCAUGGCCACAUUUCCCACAUGGACUGCUCUGGCCAGAAGACUUUCGAAAAGGUGAUCUUUCUCAAAAACAUUUUUGUCGCUGUACUCUGGCAACGGUAAUAGUACAGUUUUGGACUUUCGUACACAGCAACUCUUUGGAAACUUGUCAUUAGCUUCGUCGGAUGAUUUAGUUUUGAUGUUUUCGAAGACAUCGUCCACAACAAUCGUUGUAUCGCUAGCGCAUUCGAUGUUCAGAAGAAGGCACAACUGCUCGAGAAAAAUCUUAAAUGAUCUCAUACGACCUAACUCAAUGGCUGAUAGUAGAGCUGCACACAGACUGAGUUUGUUCUGUUUUGGUGGCGGAUGCAAAUCGAAUUUAUCGACAAGAAAACAUACAAUGUUGUACGCAUUUUUGGCGAGUGCGGCUUUGAUGAGCUGGUCUCCCAUGCUAGACAAAUAUUCCUCAGGCUUGUCUAGAUGUAGAAUAAACUGUUCAAAUAGUUCGUACGCUUUCUUCGCAAUACAAUACUGCAAUGCUGUUGACUGCUCCAAACGUUCGCGUUUAUCGUUUAUGUCAAUUUUCCUUUCCUUUAACAAAUGAUCCACUGUGUAUUCGGAUAAGUGUUUGCGAUCCUCAGCAGAUGCUAAUUGAUUGACAUAAUGAUAUGCUUGUAUCAACAGAUUGUCGUUAUCGUUUGAAAACAGUUGUGCGCAUAGUGUAGAUAUGUUGAUACUUGCUCCGAAAUCUAAAAGAGCUUUAAUGGCAUUUUUGUUCCACAUGACAAAAGCAUAGUCUAAUGCCCUCCAGUGGAAAAGAUCAUCUCUUGCAUCAAUCAGAUCGAUCUUAUUGAUCGAACUCAUCGUUUCCAG